rnacentral:sRNA from 1 species
GCUGAAGCCUCCCGCAGCGACCCUAAACAAAUGCGUCAGUCCGCUCUGCGGGCGACACCACGAUCCCACUGGGACCUCGGCACCUGUCCCUGACGGUACCGAUACCAGCGGCCUGUAGCAACAGGCUCACAGAUCAGACAGUGGUGGCCAAGUUGUGGUUAAGAUAUGACCGGUCUCCCCUGUGACCAGCGGAGAAGACACGUUCCGUAGGUGAACCUGCGGAAGGAUCAUUACAGAGUUAGGGUCUCUCAGGCCCGAUCUCCAACCCUAUGUGUACCUACCUUUGUUGCUUUGGCGGGCCCGUUGGGGCGACCCACCGGCGGCCUUUAGGCUUCCGAGUGCCCGUCAGAGACCCAUUCAAAACCUGUUAACUGUGUCGUCUGAGUACCAACAUAAUAAAUUAAAACUUUCAACAACGGAUCUCUUGGUUCUGGCAUCGAUGAAGAACGCAGCGAAAUGCGAUAAGUAAUGUGAAUUGCAGAAUUCAGUGAAUCAUCGAAUCUUUGAACGCACAUUGCGCCUCUCGGUAUUCCGGGAGGCAUGCCUGUUCGAGCGUCAUUUCACCACUCAAGCCACGCUUGGUGUUGGGCCCUCGUCCCCCGUGGACGUGCCCGGAAAUUAGUGGCGGCACAGCCCGGCUUCAAGCGGUAUCGAUUUAUCUUUGCUUUGGAAGCUCGGUCCUGAGUCGGCCAGACAAACCCCAUCUUCCAUCAAGGUUGACCUCGGAUCAGGUAGGGAUACCCGCUGAACUUAAGCAUAUCAAUAAGCGGAGGAAAAGAAACCAACAGGGAUUGCCUCAGUAACGGCGAGUGAAGCGGCAACAGCUCAAAUUUGAAAUCUGGCCCUUUCAGGGUCCGAGUUGUAAUUUGCAGAGGAUGCUUCGGGUUCGGCUCCGGUCUAAGUUCCUUGGAACAGGACGUCAUAGAGGGUGAGAAUCCCGUAUGUGACUGGCCGCCACGCCCGUGUGAAGCUCCUUCGACGAGUCGAGUUGUUUGGGAAUGCAGCUCAAAAUGGGUGGUAAAUUUCAUCUAAAGCUAAAUAUUGGCCAGAGACCGAUAGCGCACAAGUAGAGUGAUCGAAAGAUGAAAAGCACUUUGGAAAGAGAGUCAAACAGUACGUGAAAUUGUUGAAAGGGAAGCGCUUGCAACCAGACUUGCCCGCGGGUGAUCAACCGGUAUUCUUACCGGUGCACUCACCCACGGUCAGGCCAGCAUCGGUUUGGGCGGCUGGAUAAAGUCCACUGGAAUGUAGCUCCUCUCGGGGAGUGUUAUAGCCAGAGGUGCCAUGCAGCCCGCCCGGACCGAGGACCGCGCU